rnacentral:rRNA from 1 species
AUUGAACGCUGGCGGCAGGCCUAACACAUGCAAGUCGAGCGGUAGAGCGAAGCUUGCUUCUCUUGAGAGCGGCGGACGGGUGAGUAUUGCCUAGGAAUCUGCCUGGUAGUGGGGGAUAACGUCCGGAAACGGACGCUAAUACCGCAUACGUCCUACGGGAGAAAGCAGGGGACCUUCGGGCCUUGCGCUAUCAGAUGAGCCUAGGUCGGAUUAGCUAGUUGGUGGGGUAAUGGCUCACCAAGGCGACGAUCCGUAACUGGUCUGAGAGGAUGAUCAGUCACACUGGAACUGAGACACGGUCCAGACUCCUACGGGAGGCAGCAGUGGGGAAUAUUGGACAAUGGGCGAAAGCCUGAUCCAGCCAUGCCGCGUGUGUGAAGAAGGUCUUCGGAUUGUAAAGCACUUUAAGUUGGGAGGAAGGGCAGUAAAUUAAUACUUUGCUGUUUUGACGUUACCGACAGAAUAAGCACCGGCUAACUCUGUG